GAAAGAGUUGAAAAUUAAUGCUGAAUCAAAUACUGUCACACAGAUUAGUAGAGGCAUCUUCACAGUCAGUCUCCAAUGCCUUUCUCUUUGCUGUGAACACUGAAUAAUAAUUAUUUUAUGAAGGUAGUGCAUUGUAAAUAUUUAUAAACAGAAAUGUAAAACAGUGAGACCACAGUGAAUAAAUUAUUUUGAAAUAUUUUAAAAUCCAGUUUUUAUAUGCUUUUUAGUAAAAAUUAUUCAUGGUGAUCAAUAUUUCUUUCUCACUUGCCAUCUGCUCUGCUUCUUUGGCUGUGCAGUUCUAGGUGAAUGAUGCACUGUGCUGUAUAAUGCACUCCACAAAUUUAUUGACUCGGAUGCAGCAUUUUUACGAAGAGCAUGCAAACAUGUAAUCACUGAACAUAAGUCUUCUGGGGUAGGUAAUUGCCAAUUCUUUCCCAUCCCAAGGAACAAUCAGGUAAUCAUUAGGCUUGCCACACAGAUGUCUGUCUCCUCUCGUCGUGCAGGUGGCAGUCAGUAGUUUCUCUAUCAGAAGGUGGAAGCAACUCACUCCACAUUUUCCUACAGUGUAACUGGUCAGAAGAAUUGUAUCCUGCAUGUUGCAGGAAAUUUUGAUAUUUUCCUGUUGCAUCUGUUUGUGAAGAAACCCCGUUUUCCUGCAAUUCCACUUUAAUUGAUUUCUCAGCAGCCAGUUUUGCACUACUGAAUCACCCCACCUGAAAGCCUCAGAAUAGGGUCUUUGGGCUGGAACAAUGGCACUUAGGUGGUUUGGCCACCUCUUCCUUAAUCUGAAAGCAGAUGUCUGUAGCCAGUUAAUAAUCUGUGACUCUUGUACUUUCCUUUCGUUAUCUGGCUUGGAGGAUUUGCUUUAAUGAGGUUUAUGUGUUUUGCUGGUUUGUUGGAUACACUUUUCAUUCCCUCAAGCAAACCAUUGUAGCCUUCAUUAUCAUUAUUACUAUUUUCUUUCUGCAUGUCAUUGGGCUAGUUAUUAAUACUCAAGGAAUUUUCUUAAAUCUGGUAAAAUAACAGCAAUAUAGUGAUGGGGACUGUCUUGAGGACAGAUGAGGAUCAAGGGUUCUUAAUGCUGCCUCUCCUGUGAAGCCAUCCUUGAUUUUCUUAAUAGCCCUGUCCAGAGUUGAAAUUAAUAGCCCUCUCCAGAGGGCUCCCUCCAAAGUUGCUUCCAUAAUUGCAGAUUUUUCCUUUGUUGCUUUCUUUUAUGAGCCUGCCCUGUGUAAGUUGUCUUCAUGAUUGUUUCCCUCCUGGAUGGCAGAGUCUUCAGAGACAGGAAUUGUUAUUCAUCUUUGCUUCCCUCCACAGAACACAGAACAUGUGCUUGUUAAUUACUUGUUAAAUUGGAGAUUGUCACAUUUUCUAGACUAAAUGCCCUCAGCACCCUCGUUUCACCAGUCAAGGAUCGUUGGGUGGCAAGAGUAGAAAUUCACAUCGAUUCUCUUUGGGCAAAGGCAGGCAUUUAUUUGGAGAAUACAGGUGUGUCCCUCAGAGCUAACGCUGGGAAGUAGAUCCAGCCAGGAUGCAGGUUGGGAGAGGGACUGUUAUGUGAAAGUCCUAGGUACCCUGAUUCACUGUCUAUUUAUCUCUUGAAGUGAUUGAUGGUGCGGCUGUGCCAUGAUCUCAGCCUCUGAGAGUUGGUCUCUGUUUUUGGAUCUUUUUCCCUUCCUGGAUCACUAGAGCCUAUAAUGGUCUUGCUCUUCUUUCUGCUCUUGGAGGAAUGCACAGUUCAUUCAUCUCACAUCUACUUGGGCUGAUUCCUACCCUGCUCUGCAACUUCCUGUGCUGCUCUGAGGUUUGUCUUCUGUGUUGCAGCUUCUGUUUGUUCAUGUGCUUUCAUGUGCCCUGAAUGGCCCUCCCUCAUCUUUAUUUGUCCAUCACGGCUCAGCUUAAGUGUCACCUCCUUAAGAGCCCCUUUAUUGUGCGAAGUCUCCCCUUCCCCUCCAAGAGUGCUAUUUCACAGUCAGUUAUUUCAUAUUCCUUUUCUUAAGGUGCAAUUACAUAUGUAUAUGCUUGUUUACUUGUUCAUUGCCUUUUUCCCCUGCUAGAAGGCAAGCUCUUGAAGGCUAAGGCCAUCUCCACCUUGUUGACCUUGGAUCCCAGUGUUUGGCCUGCAGUGGGAGUGCUGUAAAUGUCCAAGGUUCAGUUGUCUGGCUGUCAUAUAUCUCUCAGGGCUAUGACACAGCCUCUUCCAGGACAACUGAAACCGAACCCUGCAUUAGCCCACCUGUAUCAGGGUGAUAAAUUCCCUGUUUGUGUAGUCAACUGCCCUGCCAUGAACGUAGUACUCUGUAAUGUGCAUAAUAUAAUCAUUUAGCUUUUGGGCUGGUUUUUCUGCAUCAUUUGAUAAAGUCAUAAACUUAAGUUAUGAAGUCAACUCUAUAGAGAUUAUGUCUAAGUAAAACAGAUCAAUGGGAUUUGUCUCAGGAACAAGAAAUUUAAUAUACUUCAUUUGACAGCCAACUAGAGUCAUUGUUUUUGCUUCCCAAAUGCGAGACUAAUCGUCCAGAUAUGAUGGGGGAGGUGUUCUUUUUGUUGUUGUCAUUGCAUGUGUGUGUUUUGUUUUUUGGCUUUUUUUUAUGUGCAAGAUAAGCAGUUUUGUCCCCCUUGCUACUGGAUCAGAGAAUGAGAUGGUUUUGGUCUGUUUCUUUUGGCAGUAAGAAAUAAUGGCUUGGUAGUGGGACUUGGGACAUAUCACGCAUUCUGACUAGUGUCUCCCAAACUUAGGCACCCCAGCUUCUACAAUUGUACAAUUAAGGGCAUACUAUAGACUGGAUUCAAAUCCCAUCCCUUCACUGAUUAACUUUAUUAUAUUGGGCACAUUAUUUAUUCUGUUAACUUGCAUUCUUUCGUUUAUAAGAUAGGGAUAAAAUAAUACAGUCUGUGCAGGAAUAUAGGUAAAGUUUCAUUCAGAUGAUAUGUACUGUCAACACAAAGCCAAACAGACAGUUGAGUAUUUAUAAACUUGGGCAUCAUCUUCAUUAGCGGCAGCAUCUUCACAUCUUCAUCAUUUUCAUCUCUCCAAGAGAGCCUUAAAAGGAGGCACAGGUGAAUCAUUCUAUGGAAUGAUUGGUCAGUGGGAACCUGCUGUAAAGCACAGAGAACUCUAUCCAGUAUGCUGUAAUCAUCUUUAUGGGAAGAGAAUCUGAAAGAGAAUGGUUGUGUGUACAUGUAUGACUGAAUCACUUUGUUGUGCAACAGAAAUUAUCACAACAUUGGAAGUCAACUAUACUUCAAUAAA
rnacentral:lncRNA from 1 species